rnacentral:misc_RNA from 1 species
GAAGUUCUUUAAUUCCCACUUUGAGGAGAUUUACAAAACUCAAUCCCAAUGGAUAAUAUUUGAUGAGCAGCAAAGAAAGGAGUUGAGGAACUCUUUGGCCAACCUGUUGCUGCCAGCAUAUGGAAACUUUAUUAAAAGAUUUCAGAAUUCUCCAGAAGUUGGGAAGCAUGCGGACAAGUAUAUCAAGUACACCGUGGAAGACAUAGAAGCCCAUAUUAAUGAUUUAUUCCGAGGAGGAAGUGGAUCAGCUGGCAGUAGAAGGUAAAGGUAAGAAGCUGCCUAUUCCAUUAACGUAUAUUUGUGAAGUUUGAAUUUUCGUUUUCAAUGAAUAUACCCUUCGCUAAACAUUGGAAUGUUUCUUUCAAUGUUUGUUUGUGAACGAAAAUUUCAGAUAGGUACAUCAUCAGGUCGUUAUCCUGCUUAUGAGAUGAAUUAUGUUUUUGUUUUAUGCCAUCUAUGAUCAAUGCUAUUAUACAGUUGGAUUUAGUUAAAAAAAAAA